GAUGAACGCUGACAGAAUGCUUAACACAUGCGAGUCUUUGGCGAAGCUGUGCUUGCACAGCCUAGCCAAGGCGGACGGGUGAGUAACGCGUAAGGAACUUGCCCUGCAGUCAGGGAUAACAGACGGAAACGACUGAUAAGACCUGGUAAAGUCAGGCGGACUCAUGUCCAGCCUGAUGAAAAGAGAUGCUGCAGGAGAGCCUUGCGUCCUAUUAGCUUGUUGGUGGGGUAACGGCCCACCAAGGCGAUGAUAGGUAGCCGGCCUGAGAGGGUGGACGGCCACAAGGGGACUGAGAUACGGCCCUUACUCCUACGGGAGGCAGCAGUGGGGAAUAUUGGACAAUGGGGGCAACCCUGAUCCAGCAAUUCUGUGUGCACGAUGAAGGUUUUCGGAUUGUAAAGUGCUUUCAGCAGGGAAGAAAAAAAUGACGGUACCUGCAGAAGAAGCGACGGCUAAAUACGUG
rnacentral:rRNA from 1 species